GACGAACGCUGGCGGCGUGCUUAACACAUGCAAGUCGAGCGGUAAGGCCCUUUCGGGGGUACGACGAGCGGCGAACGGGUGAGUAACACGUGGGUGACCUGCCCUUAGCUCUGGGAUAAGCCUGGGAAACUGGGUCUAAUACCGGAUAUGACUCCAUAACGCAUGUUGUGGGGUGGAAAGCCUUGUGCGGCUAGGGAUGGGCCCGCGGCCUAUCAGCUUGUUGGUGGGGUGAUGGCCACCAAGGCGACGACGGGUAGCCGGCCUGAGAGGGCGACCGGCCACACUGGGACUGAGACACGGCCCAGACUCCUACGGGAGGCAGCAGUGGGGAAUCUUGCGCAAUGGGCGAAAGCCUGACGCAGCGACGCCGCGUGGGGAU
rnacentral:rRNA from 1 species